AUGACAGAUGCAUGGACAGACAAAAGAGGAAGGGGAGUGAUGACUUUGGUAGUUCAUAGUGCCUAUUGUGUUAUAUUUGUUGAUUCUGUGGACUGUUCAGAUGUGAGAAAAGAUGGCAAGAUAAUAUUUGAGCUUGUUGAUAGAUGCAUAGAAGAAAUUGGGGAGAAGAAUGUAGUUCAAGUUGUAAUGGAUAAUGCCUCAGUCAAUAUAGCAGCAGCAGCGAUGAUGAAAGUGAAGCUGCCCUCCCUAUUUUGGAAUGGUUGUGCAGCCCACACAAUUGAUUUGAUGUUGGAGGACAUAGGGAAGCUUCCUAUAAUCGAUCAAACCAUUGCCAAAGGAAAGCAUGUGGCUGUGUUCAUUUAUGCGCAUACAAGAGUUUUGGCAUUGAUGAGAAAAUUUCUUGUAAAAGACCUAGUCCGCUCUGGUAUUACUAGGUUUGCACCAGCAUAUUUGAACUUGAAGAGUUUGCAGGGCAACAAAAAAGAGCUACAAAAGUUG
rnacentral:rRNA from 1 species